ensembl:lncRNA
AUUCUACAGUGUUUUUAAAAGAUAUUCUGUUUAUAGAUGGAAUUUUUCAUAUUAAAUGAUCAAGUUUUUAAAAGUAAGUCUUACGGAAAAGGACAGUGUCUUUUCAUUGAUUCUGCCACCCUGGUGCAAAAUGUCAAGUCCUGGCAUGAUAUAAAAAUGAACGUAUGGUAUUUCAUGUUGAACUUUAAACUUAGCGGUGUUUGUCCCCCAAAGGCUCAUAUGCUUAAAGGCCUGGUUGCCAGCCAGUGGUGCUGUUGAGAGGUGGUGGAAACUAGGAGGGGCGAGGUGGGAGAAAGUGAUGUCACUGGGGAGGACACAUGCCCCCUCCCCUCUACUUCCCAGCAGCCUUCCAGUACACACUCCCACUUCACCCCAGGCCCCAGACAGCAGGUAUUACCCAGUACACUUAGUCUAUAUCAGCUGGACUGUUGUAACGCUGUGGCAAACAUCACAUGUCACUGGGGUUGGAACGGAACUGCUGAAACCAUGGACUGAAACCUCUGAAGGUGUGAGCCAAAAUAAGCCUUUCUUCCUUUCAGGUUGCUUAUUUCUGGUAUUAGAGAAGGCAAGUUGGUUAACAGUUGUUAUAUCAGGCUUAAACUCUUCACUACCAGUUAUUCACGAACAGAAACAAUACAAUGGCAGGGUUUUUUACUACAUGAUUGCAGUGCAUAAUUAUAUGCAUCACGGAGUUCAUACCUGCUAUUUGUGUUUUUUCAACACAAACUAAAUCACACUGCCUGAAACAACCUCUUACUCUGAAAGCAAGUGACAUGAAAAUAGAACUGCUGAGAAGACAUUUCCUCCUGCUGCAAUUUCGCCAAACAGCUGAGGCGAACUCGGUAAGCACACUGCACAGUGCUCGCUGAUACCUGUGAGGAGCCUGCUGCCGAGCUUAGGAAGAGCCUGUGCCCACAGGAAGCACCGGAGACGCUGGGCUCCCGCUCUGCAGGGGCUGAGGGGUCACUGGAUCGCGCAGCACGGAGGCUGCCCGCGGCUGAAGGGUCCCGCACGGGGGCGCCCAGGCAGGCUCAGCAGCGGAGGCCAGGCCUUCCCUUUGCACCGCGGCCCGAAGGGACAGGGCGGGGCGGCACCGUGCUGGGUGCGCUCAGCGUGGAGAAGAUGAACCCUGCGGCGCCCCCAGUUCCUCGUCUGCGCCCGCACGCGGGGAACAGAUCUGCCCCAAGGCCUCGGGCCGCGGUGUGCAGCACGCCCUCCCCGCCCGAUGGAGGAGGAGGAAAGAGACUUGAGAAGCUUCCACCAGGGCUGGCGUUUACACUGGGGUGAGAACCGAAAGGGGGCUGCCGUGCUGUGGAUCUGUGCAGGAGCCCAGCAAGGCUAAACACUGCUUUUCUACCAAAAGGACUGGACUGAAACAAGGAACAUUUCAAAGUGAAAGUCUUUUUUGAUAAAUGCUCACAUUUCUUAGAUCUGCCAACUGCGAGGGCCGCAGGAAGUACAAGGAAGCAGCUGUGUGCCGGCGCUUGCGAACAAACUCCUUCCUGCAGCCAGGGUAGUGUGUGCCCGGGUGAUGGUCUCUGCAGGGCAGUCCCUCUGUGUGACGGUCUCGGGAGGCAGGGAGGUGACAAAGGCGGUGGGCGACAGGAACCUCAGGGCGCGCCUUCGGAAGGAGGCUGCGGCUCAAGGCUGUUGGUCAGGUGGGAGAAGCCAGGAAAAGGCCCAAGUCCGUGGUUCAUGGGUUCAUGGGUUCAUGUUAUCAAAUUGAGGCUAAACCGGACUUCCCCGACGCUGCUGUACGCAAGCCGUGUCUGGAGUUCCAGGACGCGCACUUUUCACAUGUUGGUAAAUGGAAAUUGAUUUCAUCAAAACGGCUUAACUGAGCCUCCCCUGCCACGUUCAGAAAGCGUGCAGGGAGUUUGAAUAAAAACUGAGAAACCGGAAGGGCCAUGGCUGAGAGGCGAGGGGAUUCAUGUUUCACACUGUAGCGGGAAUCCGUGAGAGCCGAGGACCGCAACCCCCAGAUAGCCAGGAAGCCCAAAACGGAGGCUGCUGAGUCACAACCCUCCAGGGGUCUUACAGCAAACCUGCCAAGUCUCCCCGGCUGCCCGGGAGCUCUGAGAGCAUGACUGCAGGCCAUGGGCUCCUGCAGGGGCCCCACAUGGGCGCUAGGUGAGCACUGCACAGGCUGGACCUUAAAAGAGUAGUCGACUCCUCUAGGGUAGAGGUUGUAUUGCCUACACAGUGGCCCAAGCUCCCUUCUAAGCCCCUCAAAAACCCCUAGCUAAAGAACCCUUGUGGCUACCCUACUCUGCACCCCCAGUAAAGCUAGCCAGGAGCUUUAGUUUCUUCCCUUUAUAUCUUUUAAGUAAAUUUGUACCCUUACCCCUUCUGUCUGCACUUCCAUUUUUCGUCACCGUUGGACACAAUCCCUGCGUUCUGCAUACCUCAUAGUAGAGGAGAACUGUAACAAAUGCUUUGGUACAAAGUCGGUCUCUUCCCUGCAGUUACCUCUAAGGAAGGAGAAAAAAAUUCCCAGGCCAUUUCAGCAGGUAAAAUGCAUCUUCUGAGGAAUGUCACACCGUGCCGAGGGGCUGUCCCCGGGAACCAGCCAGGGCUCUGAGAAGUCCGGGAGACCCAGCCUCCUGCUCCUCUUCCCCCGGCCCAGCAGUGACGAGUCCUCCCCAGAGCACCGGUCAUCUGCUCCGUCCUCUCGGGUGGCCGGCAGGAGACCCUGGGUGGCGGCCGCUUUCUGCCCUGGAAAUCUGUAUCUAACAAACCCAGGAUGAACGUCUCCGAGACUCAAGCGCAGCCUGGACUGUGUGGUGGGGAGAGACGCUCGUGCAAGGCGAGCAGCAGGAGGUCUCCAGGCUUCUCUAAAUCUCGCGAGGAAACAGCCCAUCUGCCUGAGGCCCGUGGCGCGCUCUGCUGUGUCGUGGGGGGGGGCAUGAAACGGGGUGCACGCAGCACUGGCCUCGGGCUCUAGAGCUGUCUUCACUUUGAAUGGCCCCGUGGGCUUUAAAUUUAUAAAACACGAUAAACUCUCGAGAGGGGAAAUUUCACAUAAAACCUAGACUUUUCAUAUUACAAACUAUAUGCCCCAUUCUAUUCUUACUUUUUAUGCAGUCACUAAUGAUAUACCAGUAUUUUGAAAUUUUAGCUGGAAUAUAGCUCUCUGCUUCAAAAUGAAACAAACCUGGAACCAGAAUUUAAGCUGAUGAAAGUAAUGGUCCAUCAGCUGGAAGCACUGGAAUCUGCCUGUAGUCCGGUUUGUCGGGAGGCUGAGACAGGAGCAGCCCUUGAGCCUUAGGAGUUCAAGGCCAGCCUGGGCAACAUGGAAUUGGGGGAGGGUUGUCAAUCAGCCCAGGGCUUUUUGCUCAGUUCGGAUGGAAAUCGUGAAUUGAGAAAAGUAGCUUGGCUAGCAGCCCUGAUGUCACCAGAUGACACCAGGUAGUGCUAAGUGACAACAGUGGAUAAUAGUUGGCAACUGUAUUUCAUGAGAUUUUUUUCAAGUUUUUUUUUUCCCCCCCUAUGCCUAAUAAUGCUACCUCCGUUCAGGUACAUGUCUUUUGAUGUACCUGUGCUCUCCUAGAAUAUGCUCAUCUUUAGAGCUGGAGUACAAUGAAAGCACAAUAUUCUCCCAGCUGGAAGUAAAGAGUUCUCACUGCUCCAUAUCCUUGCCAACACUUGAAAUUGUCAGUCUUUAACUCUGGCGAUUCAGGAGGGUAGUAUCUUAUUGUGAGCUGAAUCUGGAUUUACAUGCUUAAGAUGCCAUUUGGGUACCUUUUGCAAAUCAAGAGUUCAGGUUCUAGACUCACUUUUUAUUAGAUUUUCAGUCUCUUACUGAUCUAUAGGACUACUUUACAUAUUUUGGAUGAGACUCUUGUGCCAGUUAUGUGUGUUAUAUAUAUCUACUCUGACUGGCCUCUUCACUUUAAUGGUUUCUUUUGAUAAAUUGAACUAAUUUAAAUUAAGAAUUUAUUAGUAUCUUCCUUUGUAGUUGCUGCUUUUUGCCAUCUGCUUAAAUCUUUCCCUACUCAAGGUCAUAAAUAUCACUUAUAAAAGUAUUUAACAUUCCUAUUUAAAGCUACAUUCUUAAAUUGUUUUUGUGGCUAGUAUAAGGUAUGCUUCAAUGUAUCGAAAUAUGACACAAUCCUAUUAAUAUUUACUUAAAAGCACUGAAAAUGUCUUCAAAUAAAAAAUUGCCAAUUUAAAAUUUCUUUCACAUGGCUACCACAAUGACCUAGUGCCAUUUACUUUUAAAUGUUGUUUGCUCCUUUUUCUGUGCUGGGCGUUGAAUCCAGGGCUUUCAUACUGAGCUACACCUCCAGUCCUUAUUAUUAUUAUUUUUUUUUACUUUGAGACAGAUCUGAAGUCAUUAAUUUUCCCAGGCUAGGCUUGAACUUGCAGUCCUUUGGGAAGGUGAGGUGUAAGAGUGCUGAGAUUCCAGGGUUGUGCCACCGUGCCUGGCUCUACCCGUAUACUUAACAUUACGUUCUUUGCCAGAGAGCACACGCCCACACAGGAGGCUCCAGACUGGGACUCUGAUCUUUUCCACUGGUCUGUCUGCUGUUCCGGGCUCAGUAGUACUGCCUUAAUUCCGUCACUUUAGGGUGAGCCUCUAUAUUCAAAGUAUAGCUUCUCUUAUUAUUUUGUUCUUUAACAACGUCUUGG